rnacentral:rRNA from 1 species
GACGAACGCUGGCGGCGUGCUUAAGACAUGCAAGUCGAACGGCAGUCUUCGGACUGUAGUGGCGCACGGGUGAGUAACGCGUAACUGACCUACCCCAAAGUCGCGGAUAACGAUUCGAAAGAAUCGCUAAUACGUGAUGUGCUGUCAGAUUGUGUUCUGCCAGUAAAGAUUGAUUGCUUUGGGAUGGGGUUGCGUUCCAUCAGCUAGUUGGUGGGGUAAAGGCCCACCAAGGCGACGACGGAUAGCCGGCCUGAGAGGGUGGCCGGCACAGGGGCACUGAGACACGGGUCCCACUCCUACGGGAGGCAGCAGUUAGGAAUCUUCCACAAUGGGCGAAAGCCUGAUGGAGCGACGCCGCGUGAGGGAUGAAGGUCUUCGGAUCGUAAACCUCUGAAUCAGGGACGAAAGACACUUCGAUGGGAUGACGGUACCUGAGUAAUAGCACCGGCUAACUCCGUGCCAGCAGCCGCGGUAAAAC